rnacentral:rRNA from 1 species
AGAGUUUGAUCCUGGCUCAGGACGAACGCUGGCGGCGUGCUUAACACAUGCAAGUCGAACGGAGCCUAUUAGAACUUCGGUUUUGAGAAAGCUUAGUGGCGAACGGGUGAGUUACACGUGACUAAUCUACCCCGGACUGGGGAACAACAUCGGGAAACUGAUGCUAAUACCGCAUAUUGAGAUUCUUCCGCAUGGUCGAAUCUUGAAAGAUUUAUCGGUCCGGGAUGAGGUCGCGCCCUAUUAGCUUGUUGGUGAGGUAAUGGCUCACCAAGGCAACGAUGGGUAGCUGGUCUGAGAGUAUGAUCAGCCACACUGGGACUGAGAUACGGCCCAGACUCCUACGGGAGGCAGCAGUGAGGAAUAUUGCGCAAUGGGCGAAAGCCUGACGCAGCAACGCCGCGUGAAGGAUGAAGGUGCUUUGCAUUGUAAACUUCUGUAAGGAGGGAAGAACUCCCCGCUUUUGGUGGGGCUGACGGUACCUCCAAAGUAAGCACCGGCUAAUUCAGUGCCAGCAGCCGCGGUAAUACUGAAGGUGCAAGCGUUGUCCGGAUUUACUGGGUGUAAAGGGCGUGUAGGCGGAGGAAUAUGUCGGAAGUGAAAUCGUGCGGCUUAACCGUAUCAAUUGCUUUCGAAACUGUUCCCCUUGAGUUCGGAAGAGGCAGACGGAAUACCAGGUGUAGCGGUGGAAUGCGUAGAUAUCUGGUAGAACACCGGAGGCGAAGGCGGUCUGCUGGUCCGAUACUGACGCUGAGGCGCGAAAGUGUGGGUAGCGAACAGGAUUAGAUACCCUGGUAGUCCACACCGUAAACGAUGGUCACUAGUCGUCGGGGGAUUCGACCCCUUCGGUGACGCAGCUAACGCAUUAAGUGACCCACCUGGGGAGUACGAUCGCAAGGUUGAAACUCAAAGGAAUUGACGGGGGCCCGCACAAGCGGUGGAGCAUGUGGUUUAAUUCGAUGCAACGCGAAGAACCUUACCUGGGCUUGAACUGCAGUAUAAACCCAUGAAAGUGGGCUAUCCCUUCGGGGAGUGCUGUAGAGGUGCUGCAUGGCUGUCGUCAGCUCGUGUCGUGAGAUGUUGGGUUAAGUCCCGCAACGAGCGCAACCCUUGUCUUUAGUUGCCAUCAGGUAAUGCUGGGAACUCUAAAGAGACUGCCGCGGUUAACGCGGAGGAAGGUGGGGAUGACGUCAAGUCCUCAUGGCCCUUACGUCCAGGGCUACACACGUGCUACAAUGGCUGUACAAUACGUCGCAAAACCGCAAGGUGGAGCUAAUCGGUAAAAACCAGUCUCAGUUCGGAUCGCACUCUGCAACUCGAGUGCGUGAAGUUGGAAUCGCUAGUAAACGCGAAUCAGCAGGUCGCGUUGAAUACGUUCCCGGGCCUUGUACACACCGCCCGUCACACCAUGGGAGUCGGUAGGACCCGACAGGUUUGAGCUAACCGCAAGGAAGCAGAGCCUUAAGGUCAGGCUGAUGACUAGGGU